AGAGUUUGAUCAUGGCUCAGGAUGAACGCUAGCGGCAGGCUUAAUACAUGCAAGUCGUGGGGCAGCACAGUAUAGCAAUAUACGGGUGGCGACCGGCAAACGGGUGCGGAACACGUACGCAACCUUCCUUCGAGCGGGGAAUAGCCCAGAGAAAUUUGGAUUAAUACCCCAUAAAAUUUUGAGAUGGCAUCGUCUUAUUAUUAAAGCUUCGGCACUUGAAGAUGGGCGUGCGACUGAUUAGGUAGUUGGCGGGGUAAUGGCCCACCAAGCCUGCGAUCAGUAACUGGUGUGAGAGCAUGACCAGUCACACGGGCACUGAGAUACGGGCCCGACUCCUACGGGAGGCAGCAGUAAGGAAUAUCGGGCAAUGGACGCAAGUCUGACCCAGCCAUGCCGCGUGGAGGAUGAAGGUCCUCUGGAUUGUAAACUUCUUUUAUUUGGGACGAAAAAAGGGAAUUCUUUCCCACUUGACGGUACCAGAUGAAUAAGCACCGGCUAACUCCGUGCCAGCAGCCGCGGUAAUACGGAGGGUGCAAGCGUUAUCCGGAUUUACUGGGUUUAAAGGGUGCGCAGGCGGAUAUGUAAGUCAGUGGUGAAAUCUCCGGGCUUAACCCGGAAACUGCCGUUGAUACUAUAUAUCUUGAAUGCUGUGGAGGUAAGCGGAAUAUCAUGUAGCGGUGAAAUGCUUAGAGAUGACAUAGAACACCCAUUGCGAAGGCAGCUUACUACACAGAUAUUGACGCUCAUGCACGAAAGCGUGGGGAUCAAACAGGAUUAGAUACCCUAGUAGUCC
rnacentral:rRNA from 1 species